AUUUGAUGAUGCGGACAUUGUAUUUGUAACUCUCCAAACCUUUCCCAAAGAUUCAUAAAAUUCUUCAUUAUGUUUUUGUUGAAAAGCUUGAAUUUUAUUUGUUAACUC